UACGAACUGUGCGAACGUUAUUCGGAAUCACUGGGCUUAAAGGGUGCGUAGGCGGCGACUCAAGUCAGGUGUGAAAUCCCCCGGCUCAACCGGGGAACAGCGCUUGAAACUAGGUGGCCCGAGUGAGGCAGGGGUGUAUGGAACUUCCGGUGGAGCGGUGAAAUGUGUAGAGAUCGGAAGGAACGCCGGCGGCGAAAGCGGUACACUGGGCCUUGUCUGACGCUGAGGCACGAAAGCUAGGGGAGUGAACGGG
rnacentral:rRNA from 1 species